rnacentral:rRNA from 1 species
AUUGAACGCUGGCGGCAGGCCUAACACAUGCAAGUCGAGCGGAGCGGCGGGCGGGCGAGUAAUGCCUAGGAAUCUGCCUGCUAGUGGGGGAGAACGACCGGAAACGGGCGCUAAUACCGCAUACUAUCAAAUGAGCCAAGGUAGGAUUAGCUAGUUGGUGGGGUAACGGCUUACCAUGGCGACGAACCGUAACUGGUCUGAGAGGAUGAUCAGUCACCCUGGAACUGAGACACGGCCCAGACUCCUACGGGAGGCAGCAGUGGGGAAUAUGGGACAAUGGGCGCAAGCCUGAUCCAGCCAUGCCGCGUGUGUGAAGAAGGUCGUCGGAUUGUAAAGCACUUUAAGUUGGGAGGCGUUACCCACAGAAUAAGCACCGGCUAACUUCGUGCCAGCAGCCGCGGUAAUAC